rnacentral:pre_miRNA from 1 species
UUAGCUUAUAUUUGUAUGGAAUGGGAUCGUUUGCCUACGUUUGCCGCUAAAGGCGCUGUUCCAACUCCAUACAAAUUUGAGCUA